UGGAAUCCCAUUUCUCCAGAGGUAAAUGUUUCUCCCAUGUGAAUUACUGACCUUUCUUUUUCUCUUAGGAGUCUUUACUUUUUAUCUAGUGUGUCCCUAGUCCCAUUCUAGUAUAUUCAGAUACCUCUAUUGCAGGGAGAAUACAUGGGGACUUUUUUUCCCUUAGGAUUCAUUCAUUCAUUCAUGUAUGUGAGUAUACUGUUACUCUCUUCAGAUACACCAAAAGCAGGAAUUGAACUCAGGACAUCUGCAAAAGUUACCAGUGCUCUUAAUAGCUGAGACAUCUCUCCAUCCCAGUUUGGUAAUUGUUUAUACACAUAUAACUGAAACCCUCCCAUUAAUGGUAUUAAUCUAAUAAAGUGGAGUUUAUACUGUAUCAGUUACAAUAAAAUAUCCUAAAGUGAAAAAAAGUGGAUAGAGUGUCCAAAUCUGUCUUUCAAAUUUACAUUUAAUAAUGAGUGUUUACACCCAUGCUGCAGAGAAAACUUGUAGGCAAAUAGACAACGCAUGGAUUCAGCUUUCCCCCUUCACUGUGUAUAUUAUGGGCAUAGCAGCAAGCUACUCUACUUCCUGAGCCAUCCCUCUGGCUCAGUUUUGAAUCCUAACAUCUUACUGAAAUUGUGCUACACUCCUCAGCUUUUUGUUGAAGCCUUUUGACAGGGUUAGAAUCCAGGACCUUGACUGGGUGAUGGUGGUCACCUUUAAACCCUCAAGGAGGUGGUAGGGAGAAGCAGGUGGAUAUCUGAGUUUGAAGACAGCCAGGGCUACACAGAGAAACCCUGUCUUGAAAAACAAAACAAAUAAGUGAAAAAGAAUCCAGGGCCUUGCCCAGAUGAGUACAAGUGCUGUAGUGUUGCUGCUUUUCAGGCUUUUUUUAAGCCAUAGAAUAAGGGAAAGGCCUCUGGUUAGCAAAACUCUGAGCCCCAACCAAUUUGAGAUUAAUUCUUAAACUUGGUAGUUUAUACCACUCACACUGUUUUUCUACUCUUUGUCCUACAGGGGUUGAUAGUCCUUGGGGAGGCACCUUUCCCAGAUCAUACAACAGACUUACUUUCACUUAGUUCUGAGGUGAAGACAGAUCAUGGGAGAGAUAAAUUGGUAAGUAUAAAAGAUAGAAAAGGGGGAAAGAAAAAAGAUAGCUCUUAAUAGGUCAAGAAACUGCAGCCACAUAAAAAGUUACAGAGUAGUGGUUGAAUCAGGGCACAUAGGUGUAACACACUCAUACAGUUUUAGUAGGAUAACUUUUCUGGACCAAUAUAAUGGGUGGGGGGACAGGCUCUUAAACAAGUUGAAGCAAAGGGACAGCCACAUUUUACAUAAGACAAAGAGAGAGAGAAUAAAGUUGUGAGACAGAGGGCUUGUCUGUUAUGUGCAAAGCUCUGGUUCAAUUCUUAGCACUGCAUAAGCCAGGUGUGGUGUAGUGCUCACCUGUAAUCCUAGAGCUUAGGAGGAGUAUCCGAAUAUUGGUCAUGGUUUGCUACCUAGUAAGCUUGAAUCAAGGUUAGAAAAUAUGGAGCCCUGUCUCAAAUAUAUAAAAACAAAAUCAAAACAUUAAAAGUUGAAUUAGGAGUACUUAGUCCUCAGUGGGACAUCAUCUGUGUUGCACCCCACCCCAAAGGCUCAGAAAAACAGACUCUUAGGGAAGAAAGGUAUAAAGGUUAUAAGAGCCAGAGAUGGUGGGUAGCAACUAGGAAACCAGUCUUCCAAUCACAGCAGGGCAGCUGCACUUGUAAACUUAAAAUGGUUAUGACAGCAUACACAAGAUGUGUACAAACUCUACCCAGACAAAAAUACCAUCAUAGAAGGGGAAGUUGUACAGAGAAACCCUGUCUCGAAAAAAAAAUCCAAA
rnacentral:lncRNA from 1 species